rnacentral:tRNA from 1 species
GCCGGUGUAGUUCAAUGGUAGAGCGGCUGAAUCGUAUUCAGCAGAUGGAGUGUUCGACUCCUCCCGCCGGCUCCA